UCAUGUACGUGUUCUGUCCCUGUGUCAUGUACGUGUUCUGUCCCUGUGUCAUGUACGUGUUCUGCAUCGUUUAUGCGUCCUUAACCUUCCUUGUGUAACUGAGGCACUUCUGUGUUUAUGUGAUAUGUUUAUGUGUGUCCACCUGUACCUGGAGAACUUUUGCUCAUCCUGGAAGAGCCAGGCCAGUCGUGCUUUUCCUGUGAAGACAGAGCUGGGCCACCACUGUGUUGGUCCCAGGACGCCCUGAUUUGUGUCCACCGCAAUCUUCUCGGUUCCCGUCUUUGCGUGGCUUGUAGCUACUGGAUGAUAGGGUCAUUCCUUUUGUCUCUGACACCACAGAACAUACUAUUUAGCAAAUGCCUGGUUAAAAAAUAAACAUAUAAUUUAACUUCCUCCUUCAUCAUUUACUCAAGUCUCAGUUUUAUGUAGGAAAUCUUUCAAGAUAUGGUGCCUCAUACAUACUCGUUGUGGCAAUAAUGAAUAACUUGGAUUUUCUCCUCUCGGUUCCGCGCUGGCUCCACAACUUCCUGCGUACAGCCUCGUUCAGGCCCCCCCUCAAGCUUGCUUGGUAUUCACAACGUGUGUGUUGAUUGAUACAAAUAUGGAGACACGCCCCGUGUGCAUCCAGAACUCUGGGAGUGAUGGCCCUGAGACGCCUUGACAGUCUAGCACAAUGGAAAUGAGAGCGCCAACCAAGUCAUGAGGAACUGUUAAGAAGGUUGUUCCUGGAAUAGGUUUGGGAACCUGGACUUCAUCACAUUUCUGGUUGUGUUGGUGGGAGAAAAAGGAGACAUUACAGGACAGUGGGCAGCCCGGGAAGCCCUCAUGUGAUCGAGAUUCCGUGUGUGGCCCCAGAGGAUUUCCUGACGCGGGCAGGACACCUGCCCAUACCUGCCCAACAAGCUUCUGCUCUAGGAUGCUCACUGCGCCUCUCCUGGUGUGUUAGCUGCAGGGUGAGACCCGUGUUGCAGUCCUGGGUUGAAGCAUACCAGGCAGUGUUACAACUGCACAUUGGCGUUGGGUGCCGUGGGAGGGAAGACAGUGGCACGUGCAAGGGCUAAAUCUCUAAUGUGACCCACAGGAAGACCCUGAUUUUUAUUUUCUGUUCCCUGUUAUCUUCAAGUGCUGCUCCCUGGCUUUGCCAGCAACUGGACAGUCACACCCUGGCCAGUUGUUGGAGCUCUGCACUCACCAGCUCAUGUCUUGAUGACAGUGAGAGUUUAUGACCUUGAAACCUGGCUGAAGGAUGAAGAAACUUAGAAAGCACACCCACCAGGGAAUCGAAACUUGUGCAUGCUAGAAAUACAGAGUCAGGACUAGGUCCUUUGGACCAAGAAAGAGCUAAGUCAAGUGGGAGUUACCAUGAGAAAAGGGGGUUGGUCUUAAC